CAACGGCCUCAACGGAAGGCGGCGCGGGGGGCAGAGGCGCAUCAGUCUGGGGGGGACCCGGGCGGGGGGCGUUGGGGAAGCCGCGGCCUGGACCGGGACCCACAGCGGCGGCUCCACCUGGGGCAGGGCUCUGACCCGCACUCGGCCUGCGGUGUGCACGUCUAGUAGGAGACAAUCACUAAUUGCCUGCUGACUAGAUCGUCAAACAAAAUUCUGAUGACCAGCUGGCUCUAAUUAUUGUCAUUCCUUUGCAGGCCAAGUAUCCCAAAUAGAGUCUGGCAUAGAGAAGUCAAUAGAUGCUUGUGGAAUUGAAUCAGCAUGGACAUGAAGACAGGCAGAGAGCAGGGAGCAGGAGAGGGAGACACAGACUCCUCAAGCACACUCGGCCCCAAGCGCAGAGCCUGCCAGGGGCGGGUUCCCAGGAUGCUGAGGCCAUGACCUGAGCCACAACCAAGAGUCAGAUGCUAAGUGACAGAGCCACAGGCGUCAAGCCCCGUGUUCCUGCUGUGGGCACUCCUGCCUUCCCCCUGCCCCCCGCAGCCACUGAGAGCUCGGGCUUUGGUCUGCGCUCCAACUCCCAGGUGGUCUGGAGGCUACAGUGCAGGCUGCACGUCUCCUCUGUCCCACCUCAGGCUGAAAGGGCCUCAGCCCU